CCUCCCAUCUUCCCUUCACAACUCACCCUCCUUACCCCAACUACCUCCUUCCGGUGGCUUGGUUUUGAGGCCAUGUUGUAAAUUAGCUGCAAAAGAAGACCAGGGAAGACGUUUCUCCUACACCUUGCAAGCCCCCCUGUAUUUUCAGUAUUUCUGAUCAGCAAACAACUAAGUCUUGGCAGCCCAGAAUCCGUUCCUGGCACACACUGCACAAUUCGAGGGGACAUGAGGAGGCAUUGUGUGGUGCCCAUCCAGUGUCAUUUUAUGCAGUUGUCUUGGUGACUGUAUUCAGGUCUUGCAUUUUAUAUUUUAACCUAUCAAAUUAUUUUCUCUAUGCAACAGUCAUCCCUUUCAACUCUUCUAAUUAUAGCUUAAAAUCAGAGGACAAUAUUAAUAUUAAUAAUAUUAUUUAAUUUUGCAUUUACUGUUCAAAAAGUAUUUUUAUGUACAUUAGCUAAAUUAAUCCUCACCAAACACCCUAUAAUUGGUAGGUAACAUUAUUGUCAUCAUUUUUACAUUUGAGAAACUGAGAAAUGGACCCUCGGAAAGCUAAAGGGAAAUGCGAUCAGUAGUAACAUUUUUUUGAGCACCUAUUAUAUACCAGAUCCUUUACAUAUGCCCAAGUUCACAGAGCUAGUCAGGGUCAAAGCAAAGACUCAGCUUGGUUCUCCUGGUGAUUUUAAGGUGGUGCAAUUUCCAUGACAAACCAGCCUACCAGGUGUUGUUUGUCCACCUGAGAAAACUUCUAUUUGAGUAUUGGCACCAAAAUUAGAGUUCUUAUUCUUCAAAAAGUUGAAAAACAGCUGAGGUCAAUCUCCCAAAAGGCAACAACGUUUCCAUUCCAAUUCAUAAAGUCGCGAAGCAGUAAGAUCUGAAGGACACUGUUUUAUUUUUAUCGGAGAUGAAGCUUGUUUUUAUUUACAAUUUCCCUGGACGGGUUUAAGCCCUGAGAAGGAUGAAUUAACUCUGCCUUUGUAUAUUAAACAUUAUCAAACAUC
rnacentral:lncRNA from 1 species